GCGUUUUUGGCUUAGUUGGUAGAGCAAUCGCAUGCCAGGCGAUAGGCGCCGGUUCGAGUCCGGCAAUUCGCU
rnacentral:tRNA from 1 species